AGGGGAGUAGCUCAGCUGGUAGAGUACCGGUCUCCAAAACCGUGGGUCGCGGGUUCGAAUCCUGUCUCCCCUGCCA
rnacentral:tRNA from 1 species